rnacentral:rRNA from 1 species
CUAACACAUGCAAGUCGAGCGGUACCAUGGUUAGUAGCAAUACUAACUGAUGACGAGCGGCGGACGGGUGAGGAACACGUAGGAACUUGCCCUUCAGAGGGGGAUAACCAAGGGAAACUUUGGCUAAUACCGCGUAAACUCGAAAGAGAAAAGCUGCCCGCGAGGGUGGUGCUGAAGGAGAGGCCUGCGUCCGAUUAGCUAGUUGGUAGGGUAAAAGCCUACCAAGGCGAUGAUCGGUAACUGGUCUGAGAGGACGACCAGUCACACUGGGACUGAGACACGGCCCAGACUCCUACGGGAGGCAGCAGUGGGGAAUAUUGGACAAUGGGGGCAACCCUGAUCCAGCGAUGCCGCGUGAGUGAAGAAGGCCUUCGGGUCGUAAAGCUCUGUGGGCGGGGACGAAUAAGCCAUGGCUAACAUCCAUGGUGAUGACGGUACCCGUUUAGCGAGCACCGGCUAACUCUGUGCCAGCAGCCGCAGUAACAC